ACCCCCAGCCAUGUCACCCUGCAGCCCAAGACCGGUUACUCACUGAAGCUAAGCAGGGCUGAGCCUGGUUAGUACCUGGAUGGGAGACCACUAGGGAACACUAGGUUGCUGUUGGAA
rnacentral:rRNA from 1 species